rnacentral:rRNA from 1 species
AUAAUUGGAAUAGUUUUUUAACUAUUUAUAGCUAAUUAACACAAUCCCUGGGCGUUCUAUAUAGUUAUGUAUAAUGUAUAUUUAUAUUAUUUAUGCCUCUAACUGGAACGUACCUUGAGCAUUUAUGCUGUGACCCGAAAGAUGGUGAACUAUACUUGAUCAGGUUGUAGUCAGGGGAAACCCUGAUGGAAGACCGAAACAGUUCUGACGUGCAAAUCGAUUGUCAGAAUAGAGUAUAGGGGCGAAAAACCAAUCGAACGAUCUAGUAGCUGGUUCCUUCCGAAGUUUCCCUCAGGAUAGCUGGUGCAUUUUAAUAUUAUAUAAAAUAAUCUUAUCUGGUAAAGCGAAUGAUUAGAGGCCUAAGGUCGAAACUUUCUUGAUAUGAAGUUCAAGGUUAUGAUAUAAAAUGGAUGGCGCUUAAGUUGUAUACCUAUACAUUACCGCUAAAGUAGAUGAUUUAUAAUACUUGUGAUAUAAAUUUUGAAACUUUAGUGAGUACGAAGGUACAAUGGUAUGCGUAGAAGUGUUUGGCGUAAGCCUGCCAUUGGUACAGCUCUUGGUGGUAAUAGCAAAUAAUCGAAUGAGACCUUGGAGGACUGAAGUGGAGAAGGGUUUCGUGUGAACAGUGUUUGAUCACGAGUUAGUCGGUCCUAAGUUCAAGGCAAAAGCCGAAAAUUUUCAAGUAAAACAAAAAUGCCAAAUUAUAUAAACAAAGCGAAAAUAAUACACUUGAAUAAUUUUGAACGAAAGGGAAUAUGGUUCCAAUUCCGUAACCUGUUGAGUAUCCGUUUGUUAUUAAAUAUGGGCCUCGUGCUCAUCCUGGCAACAGGAACGACUAUAAAGAAGCCGUCGAGAGAUAUCGGAAGAGUUUUCUUUUCUGUACCAAUAUCCACAGCUGGUUUCCAAGGUGAAGAGUCUAUGUCGAUAGAAUAAUGUAGGUAAGGGAAGUCGGCAAAUUAGUUUCUUGUUCCCCGGAUAGUUUAGUUACGUAGCCAAUUGUGGAGCUUUCUUGCUAACAUUUUUAAGAAUACUAUUUGGGUUAAACCAAUUAGUUCUUAUUAAUUAUAACGAUU